AAAUUUAUGAUUUAUAGAAAUGUACUUCAAUAUUGAUAAAUGCUGCCAAAAUACAAAAGGGGACAGAAGGAAAGAAUCCGAUCUCAUCAACGUGUUCGAGUACAGUUGUAUCUAAUGACAUUGUUGAUCUUUCAUUCGACUUAGAUUUUGAACCAAAGGAAAUAGAACCACCAGAAGAAUAUUCUAGUUUUUCCGAUACUGACACGAUCAAUGAAUACCAAAGAAUAAAUGCAUUGACUGACGAAAAUAGAAAAGCAUUGCCAAGUGUCACGAUCGAUUGCAUACCUGAGCAUCGUACGCAACAGAACAAAGCUAAAGACAGAAAUGAAAAUUGUGCAAGAUCAGCUGUACAAUUAAUGCGAGAAAAAGUCGAGGUAUUACAAGAACAAGGUGCGUUUAACAAGAAAACUCAAGAACGUCGAAAUGAAAUUGAAGAGGAAAAGUUGAAGAUUUUGAAAGAAAACAUAGCUUUAAAAAAACAAAAGUUUCAGUUCCUUCAGACUAGUCAUUCAGAAUAUAAAAAUAUAUUGACUAAUAUUGAUGAUAAUUUGAAAAAGUUGUGCCUUCUUAUUUAACAUAAAAAAUA